UGUCAGGCUCAGAGCUGGGAGAGCUGGGUUCGAAUCCCUGCCACUCAGCCAUGAAGCUCACUGGUGCUCUGAGUGCCCACUCUGGCACAGUGCCAUAGGUUCACCACCACUGCUCUAGAGCAAUUGCCUUCAAUGGCUUGAAAUAAGAACCAAGAGUAACCACUAUUUAAAAACGUGACCAACGGGGGUGGAGGGGGCUGUGCAGAGAGGGGGCUGCUAUCCCUGAAAGGCUCUGGCUGCCUUUCUUGAAAAUGCUCUGGCCAUGUCAAGUUGAUUUCCCAAGGCGGCUGGCUUUGCACCAAAAGCAAUGUGUAAUCACAUCUGGCUUUCUUCCUGCCUCACCCAAAAGCAACUUCCCGUGUUCGUCUCAGCCUACAUGGCUUAAAAGCCGUGCUCAGUUUUUCUCCCUCUUGCAGUGAUACGGAUUCACAUGACUCUGCAACAAAGCUGUUUACCAAACCAAAGAAGCCUAGAAGAGUGUAGAAUGUGGCCUUGGGGGAAGGAAGACCCCUCUGUGCGUGUGUGUGAGUCUGACACUGUGGAAAAAGGGGGGUCAUGUUUCCUAGAAGUGAUGAACAGGAACUAGGAGCCACUAUGUAAGAUGAGCCCAAUAUUUGGAUCUGGC